GGCCAAGAUAAAGCAAAGCAGUUCGACAGAUACAACGACACAGAGUUACACAUGGAGUAAAACAAACAUACAGUCAAUGAUACAGUAUAAACAAGUCUAUAUACGAUGUGAGCAAAUUAGGUGAGAAGGGAGGUAAAGGCAAAAAAGGCCAUGGUGGCAAAGUAAAUACAAUAUAUCAAGUAAAACACUGGAAUGGUAGUUUUGCAAUGGAAGAAUGUGCAAAGUAGAAAUAAAAAUAAUGGGGUGCAAAGGAGCAAAAAAAAUAAAUAAAUAAAAAUGAAAUACAGUUGGGAAAGAGGUAGUUGUUUGGGCUAAACUAUAGGUGGGCUAUGUACAGGUGCAGUAAUAACUCAUCUCCAGUGCCAGUAUGUGAAGUGAUUUCUUUCAGUGUGCAGAGGGCUUAGGUUUCCUUUCACAGGGACACUGUGAAAGUAAUUAAUGUAAAGGGAGGGGAUGGUUCCUCCACCACGCCAUGGUUCCAUGGUUCCAACUCAUGUCAAACCUGAUGUUUUCAACCGUAAUCACCAGAUGUGCAAGAACAAGUGCUCCAGUACCUUUCUCUUUACUCUCUUUCUCUUUGCUCUCUUUCUCGCUCUCCCUCAGUUUUUUCUCAGGUCUCUUUCUCUCUCAGGGCUUCCUCGGGUCUCUCUUUCUCUCUCAGGUCUCUCUCUCUCUCUCAGGGCUUCCUCAGGUCUCUCUCUCUCUCAGGGCUUCCUUAGGCCUCUCUCUCUCUCUCUCAGGGCUUCCUCAGGUCUCUCUCUCUCUCUCUCAGGGCUUCCUCAGGUCUCUCUCUCUCAGGGCUUCCUCAGGUCUCUCUCUCUCUCUCUCAGGGCUUCCUCAGGUCUCUCUCUCUCAGGGCUUCCUCAGGUCUCUCUCUCUCUCUCUCUCUCUCUCUCUCUCUCUCUCUCAGGGCUUCCUCAGGUCUCUCUCUCUCUCUCUCAGGGCUUCCUCAGGUCUCUCUCUCUCUCUCUCAGGGCUUCCUCAGGUCUCUCUCUCUCUCUCAGGGCUUCCUCAGGUCUCUCUCUCUCUCUCUCUCAGGGCUUCCUCAGGUCUCUCUCUCUCUCUCAGGGCUUCCUCAGGUCUCUCUCUCUCUCUCAAGGCUUCCUCAGG
ensembl:lncRNA